GCCCGGGUGGCGGAAUGGCAGACGCAGGGGACUUAAAAUCCCCAGCCCUUAACGGGGCGUGUGGGUUCGACUCCCUCCCCGGGUA
rnacentral:tRNA from 1 species